AUCUGCCUUACAAGCAGAGGGUCCUUGGUUCGAAUCCAUGUGCUCCCA
rnacentral:tRNA from 1 species